rnacentral:snRNA from 1 species
AUUGCUUCUCGGCCUUUUGGCCAAGAGCAAGUGUGGUAUCUGUUCUUACAAGUUUAAUAUCUGGUAUGUUCUCUAUCUGAGGACCAUAUAUUAAGCAGAUUUUUGAAGCUAGAAGGUGGAAUAGGAGCUUGCUCCAUCCACUCCCAGCAUUAGUAUUUCCAAAAACAGUGCACCCUCU